CUCUGCGUCUCGGAGGCGGUGUUCGGUUCCCCUCAGCUUUUUGAAUGGUUACCAUGGGAGAUUAAGGCAUUUCUCAAAUAUGCCUGAAAGAAUCAACACAUCACUCCAGGUCGUGAAAAAUGCUCUGCAGGCCAAAGGGGGGGAGGGGCAGAGUAUUUUGAAUGAAUAUGAUGGUGACACACACAGGCUAAGAAAAACAGGCAUUCUUCUGUUGGUUCAUGUGCUUCUUCCUACGUCCAAAGGCCACAAGUAAAAUGCCAAAAGAGCUCAUGUCAAAUCGUGGACCAUGUUGUUGGAUAUAUGCAGUCAAAGAUGGGAGCCAGAAUUAAAGCCUUCCUCAUUGGUGUGGAACCAGGACAGCCCUUCCUCCUGCAUGUUGGUGAAAACAAGAGCAGCACCAAAGACACUUCACCAUUAGAGAUCACAAGACCAUAAAUGCAAAAAAAGUUCUAUGCAUAUGAAUAGUUUUUGCAAGGUACUAUGAUGUCAGUGACCAUUAUAUUUACUUGC